rnacentral:tRNA from 1 species
GAGAGAGGCCUGAAGCACUAGAGACUGCUAACCCCUACAUCUAUGGUUAAACUCCGUAGCUCCCUCG